GACGAACGCUGGCGGCGUGCUUAACACAUGCAAGUCGAACGGAAAGGCCCUUCUUUUGUGGGGUGCUCGAGUGGCGAACGGGUGAGUAACACGUGAGUAACCUGCCCUUGACUUUGGGAUAACUUCAGGAAACUGGGGCUAAUACCGUAUAGUAGCUCCUGCUGCAUGGUGGGGGUUGGAAAGUUUCGGCGGUGGGGGAUGGACUGGCGGCUUAUCAGCUUGUUGGUGGGGUAGUGGCUUACCAAGGCUUUGACGGGUAGCCGGCCUGAGAGGGUGACCGGCAACAUUGGGACUGAGAUACGGCCCAGACUCCUACGGGAGGCAGCAGUGGGGAAUAUUGCACAAUGGGCGGAAGCCUGAUGCAGCAACGCCGCGGGCGGGAUGACGGCCUUCGGGUUGUAAACCGCUUUCGCCUGUGACGAAGCGUGAGUGACGGUAAUGGGUAAAGAAGCACCGGCUAACUACGUG
rnacentral:rRNA from 1 species